UUUUGUUUUCCUAAACGCUUUCGGGCGGCGGAGCCCGGUGUUCGGACGCGGGUCUGCGGGCCUGGGUGCUUGGUGCAGCGGGAAGCAGGGUUUGGGGGACAGCUCCUCUUUUGGGGGGGGGGGGGUUGCGCGCGGUAAUUGCAAGUUUGUUAGAAGCCGGGCUAGCGAGUCGAGUUCAGGUCCGAAGCUCCCGCACUCCUCACCGGGCUGGAGCAGGGUCCCGGACUGGGCUGUAUCCACAGCCCGGUGACCCCAGGUGCCAAGGCCGCGGGGGACCCGGGAGGUUUGGCGGGGGCGGGGAGCGCCCGCAGAGUUACUGCGGAGCCCCGUUUGUCCCAUAGAACGGUCAGGGGAUACGAAGGGAGGGGAUCAUCCUCGGGGCUUCUCCAACUCUCGGCCUGAGAGGGAGGACGCCCUGGGACCGGUGUCCGAGAGCGGCCGCAGGGCCACGGCCAUUCUCGCCUCGGGCUGAUUGGACGUGUGCUAAGCAGUCCCACCCGGUGGCCGUCGGCGGGGAGGAAGGAGCGCGCUGAGACACGGCGCGAGUGGUUUAGACACCCGGCUCCCGCUCAGCCUGCCUGACACGCCGUCUCCUGCAAGCAGUUCCGUGUCGGCCCCUCGGUGAAUUCCACUGUGCACAUCGCUGGGACUUCUAAUAUUUGCCUGCUAGCGAGGCAUCAUCAAACAGCUUUCUUACGUGGUACAGAGGUAUUUAGCGCGCUGCAUCCUGAGCCCCCCGGGCUCUCCACCACGCAGUCGCCUCGCAGCCCCAAGGCUUGGUCAGUUGGGACACACACGCGCGCGCACACACACACGCGCACACACACACAACUGUGAGUUAAGUGAACCGCAGCCACCACUCGGUGCUGAAGCUCCUCGAUGUUGUGUAAGGCUCAAAGGGAUGUGCUGUGUGUCGAUGAUGGAUAGGACCCUAGAAUUUGGAAAACACCCUGGAGGUAGUUCUGAACCACCAGUGAUCCUUCCUGUCCUGAGUAGAAGAAGCCUGCGCCUAGCAGCAGGACCUGACCUUAUUUUCUGGUUAAGGGAAUGGAAAUCUGCCAGUCUUCAGGCUCCUGUCCCCUUUGUCAAGCCCCGAAUCACGCGAGUCUCUUUCCCCCAUUUCCCCCUCUGAGCGCGCUUCUCGGAGGCAGAUAGCCUGUGGUCUCUGCUCUCCGCUCGUUGACGGGACCAGCAGUCAAUGCCGAGUUGUGUUAACUGGACUGUCCGUUAGGAGCCAGCGAUGCCAAGGCGACGCGGCUCACAUCUGCCCUAAUGAAUUUGAGAAUUCUUUUUUGUUUUAAACCACGCAUGCCAAGUUUCAUCCCGAAGAGCAAUUUCUCAUUAAAAACAGUUGAGUUACAAACUGCUUAGAAAUGUGGUUUAUAAUGGACGCGCCAACAGACUGUUAAUUAUAGCAUUUCUUCCAUAACACUUUGGGACCUGGAAUUCACAUUAACCUGAAUGAGCUUUCCUCGUUAUCACAUGUUUCUCCCUAUAGCAUUCAUUUUGAAAAUGGGAACAUUAUAUUGCUCUGUGCUUGGAUGUUCAUGGUGCAGCAGAAAAGACCAGAAGGAGGAAAAUGCCAGAAGGCAACCCCCUUGCUCUUUCGUGACAGGAGGUACCAGUGUUUUUCCAGACCUCUAUGGUUUGACCUAUGGAAAGUGUGCCUUCCUUGAUGAAUGAUUUUAAAGCUAUCUUCUAAAAGCUAUCUUCAGAUUUCCAUUUUCCUCAUGAAAAAUCAUCGUUUAUACAUAUUUAUAACACCAAAGGUCGUGAAGCCAGGCUUACUAUUAAUGCUUUUCUGUUUGUCCAUUUUUCACUUUGGGGUUUUAAAAUGCAUCUGUGUUAGCCAUAUUGGAUUUCAGUCCUGAGUUCUGUGCUUGUAUGAAACUCUUGAAAAGAACUCCUAAUUAAAGUAAGGCCAUGGUUGGUUGAGAAGCUUUCCUAGUGGCCAAGAAAAUAUAAAGUAUUUUGAGUGACUACAUAGACCUACAAAUGAUAUGUAUCUGAUCCACACCAGUGACAACAUGAGCCUUCUCCAUAAAAUGCCUUUCCACUGAAGGCUUUGAGAACCUAUUUGAGAGUUACCUAGCCAGAAAAAUAGGGUGUGUGUGUGUGUUUCUCAUGUUUGGGAUUUAUUUCUGGCCAUAAAUGCAUCAGAAUUUAUCCUGACUGGCAGACUCUGUCAGCGUGUGCAACAGCCAGGGACAUCAUUCCGGCUAAUAGGAAGGCCUUAUUCCCACUCCAUUUUAAGAAACUUUGCCACAUUUCACAGGAGAAGAUGUUUUUCAAUGCCAGGG
rnacentral:lncRNA from 1 species